GACAGAGGUGGCAAGCGUUGUUCGGAUUUACUGGGCUUAAAGGGCGUGUAGGCGUCCUGAUAAGUCAGAUGUGGAAGCCUUGGGCUUAACCCGAGAAUUGCAUUUGAAACUGUCAGGAUUGAGUCGUGCACGGGAGGGCGGAAUUCCUGGUGUAGCGGUGAAAUGCGUAGAUAUCAGGAGGAAGGCCGGUGGUGAAGAUGGCCCUCUGGGCAAUGACUGACGCUGAGGCGCGAAAGCGUGGGUAGCAAACAGG
rnacentral:rRNA from 1 species